rnacentral:rRNA from 1 species
CUCUAUGGGCAUACUAGCCUGACGGCUGGAUCUCGGCUGAUCUCGGAAGCUAAGCAGGGUCAGGCCUGGUUAGUAUUUGGAUGGGAGACAACCUGCGAAUAUCUGGUGCUGUAGGCU